CCAUGAUAUUUAUGAUAUUAAAAGAACCAUAUGGAUUAAAGAUUAUGAGUUGAAUACUCAUAUGAUGAAGACACUAAGAAUAAUCAUUUAUCUUCGUGAGGGUAAAGAUAAAUUAAUAUUUGGUCAAGAAGUACCACAUCUUAGUGAAGUAUAUGCUUUAUUGUAUUUGGCACAAUACAUUGAAUGAAAUAAUGCUUAUUUAUUAAUAUCUCCAAGAAAUUACAGAUAUAUACAUACACAUGAGUUAAAACAAACAAACAGGAUGGA
rnacentral:lncRNA from 1 species